UUCCUCCUUCCGGGUGCUGGCAGGCCGUGCACCCCCAGGCUCCUGCUUCGCCACCCUGCCUCCGCCCCCACCACUCCACAUCCUCCCAGCAUCUCCGACAGUGCUGGCCCAGGGAUUAGCAGUAGGGUCAGGGCUCCCCAGGAGCAAGGCCCACGGCUCUCCUGGCUCCAUGGACAAGGGUGCAUGUGCAAAAACAUCAAGAAGGGAGUUCCCACUGUGGCUCAACGAGAUCAGCAGCAUCUCUGCAGCACCAGGACAUAGGUUUCAUCCCCAGCCCGGCACACCUCACCACACUGAUCUGGAGUCUGGCGCCCCCACUAGACUGUGAGUGCAUUGAGGUGGGAACCAGAGCUGUGCUGGCCUUGCCCAGUGCCGGAGAACCGUGCUUGCUGGGCCUGGAGCUACAGCCUGCAGUGGCCCCCGCAGGACCCGUGCCUCCAUCUCCACCGCUGUGUCCCCGGAGCCACAGAGAUGACUCUCAGCAAACAGCCGCUGGAUACCAGAUACUGAUGUGACCGUGGGGGUCCUGGGAGAAAGCAGAACCCCUGAACGUCCGAGUGUGCUUGAAUAACUAGGUGAGGACCUGCACACACACGAUGCAAUGCUCAGAAGGGACAGGCAGCUUCAUCUUAGGAGAGGUCACUGAGAUUAAAAAUCCAUCUUUGGGAGUUCCCGUCGUGGCUCAGCGGAAACCAAAAUGACUAGGAGCCAUGAGGUGGCGGGUUCGAUCCCUGGCCUCCCUCAGUAGGUUAAGGAUCCAGCGUUGCUGUGAUCUGUGGUGUAGGUUGUAAACAUAGCUCAGAUCGGGCGUUGCUGUGGCUGUGGAGUAGGCCCUAGCCUGGGAACUUCCAUAUGCCCUAAAAACAAACAAACGAACAAACAAAAACCAUAUUAGAUGAAGCUGAAGGUGUGGCCCACGUGGACCUGUUCAGAGCAGGAACCAGGAAUAAAUAGGCUGUUGUCCUUGGGCAACAGGAUGGGUGUCAGAGCCUGGAAGGUUAGAGAGACUUGGGCAGGGGUAGGGAAGGGAGGGGUGUCCCAGUGAACCUGCUGGGAGAUGCUGAGGAGGCAGGAGUUUGGAGGACCUGCCCACUAAGGAAGGACGUGAAGACCAAAACUGCAGGGGCAGAGCUGGGGGAUAUGAGGCCACCACACAAGGAGCCAGGACAGCUUGUAUGUGCCCUGCAAGGCUGAAGGGAACAGCAGGGGAGUGACACUGUCUUUUGGUAGGCCAUGGAGUCUCAAAGUUUCCUCUCCUCAGAGGCAGUCCCCUCACGUGGCCCACAUUGCUUGUCGUCUACCCGGUAUCAGAAUCCCUGACUUUUUAGUUAGACACAUGGCAGCCUGGAAUAAAGUCAAUAUUUCCCAGCCUCUCUUACAGCUAUUAUGACCAGGUGACUAAGUUCUGGUCAAUGAAAUUUAAGUAAAAAUGAUACAUGGAAGCUUCUGGAAAACCUUCUUAAGAGCCAGCUGUUAGGGGCCUUUUAUCUCCUGUUCCCUAUUUCCUCCUUCCUGCUGGCUGGACUUUGACUGUGAUGGCUGGAACUCCAGCAGCCACAUUGGAUUAUGAGGUAGAAGUCACUUGUUUUAAAAUGGCAGAAUGGCAAGAUAAAAGGAACGUGGGUUGUUGGAGUUCCUUUGUGGCUCAGCAGGUUAAGAACCUGACAUCGUCUCCAUGAGGAUGCAGGUUUGAUCCCUGGCCUCAUUCAGUGGGUUAAGGAUCGGGUGUUGCUGCAAGCCGUGGGGUAGGUCACAGAUGUGGCUCUGAACUGGUAUUGCUGUGGCUUUGGCCAGCAGCUACAGCUCUGAUUGAAGCCCUAGCCUGGGAACUUCCCUAUGCCCAGAUGCAGCUAUAAAAAAUAAAUACAUAAGUAAAAAUAAAAAUAAAAAGAUAAUCAUGGAGCUGCCAUACUAGCCCUAGGUUAUCAGUCUUCCUUACUGCACAUCUGUGAACUAAGCCUCUAUGUUAAGUCACUGGUAUUUACAUCACUCUCAAGAAGUCAAAGUCUUUUUUUUUUUUUUUUUUUUGUCUUUUUGUCUUUUU